UAAACGGAACGCGUGUAAUAUCGGCAGUAUCAGCAACUGGGCAAAGCGUAGUAUCUCGGACAAAGUGUUAACACCGGCUAUUAUAAAGUUUUAUCUUGCGGUUUCUUUUGUAGGGAUUGUAGCACACUGGAUUGUACACUGGCGAUGUGUUGGGAAAAUAAGCUUUGAAUGAUUCAUAAUUCAAAGGUCAUAAAAAGGCUGAGUAAUUUGACAAAUUACUCAACAACAAGUUUAACGAAUAGUUAGAGACUCCACGAACAGACAACAUUGUGUUAGUGCUAAUUGUUUUGUAGGAGUUCCCAACAUUUAUUCGUCAGUUGACAAAUAACAAGGUACCUAUAACCGACGGAAUUGCGACAGGACUGGAUGAAAAUAGAGAGAUGGACAUACAAGACACGAAAGUAGAGACUUCAAGAUCCAUGUUCUAUAUGCCAAUCGUGAUGCUGGUUUACGCUAAAUAUGUAGACAUCAUUGGUUUUUGGCUCUCCGAUGUAGCUAAAGACUACCAUGGGAUCGAGCAGAGGAAAGAGAACCUCGGAUUGCAGAUCAAAGAGACAAUACCUAAUUAAUGGUGGAAUCACCAGCGACACCUAUGAAAAAAAUCCGAUGUACAUUUGUUUGCUUAGGCGUUUGAUAAACAAUGAUAAUGAACGGACAGGUGAUCACACUUUCCAAGUCAUCGAAGAUUGCAUCUGUCUCGGAUAAAAAAUCAGCAUGGAAGAUCUGACGAAAUUCUCUUAGACGCGUACGAGAGGAAGAUGCUCAAAUGCUGUUUUGGCCUCGUAUCUGUAGCAGAACAAUGGAGAAACCACUACAACGAUAGGCUGUACGAGCUGUAUGACAAUGUAACGGUCAUGCAGCGUAUCAACUGCAGCGUAUCUAACUGCGCCAGGCCCCACUGGUCUGGUCAUAUUAUACCAUGGGCCCGAAUGACCCAGCAGGUAAAGUAGUAGUCCCAAAUUACUGUGGCGUAGUGACAAGAUGGCGUGGAGGCGUGCGGUAUUAUGGCAGUGAUAACAAACUGGCAUACGAAGACGCAUGACAGUUUCGGUCCUUUUGGCAGCAGGCCCAAGCUUAGUCAUAUGUAGGUAUAUUUUACGGUAGAACUUAAAAUCAAUGGAUAAACAAAAAAAUGGGUUCUUCCCGGUUAAAAAAUGGUUAUCUUCCUAUCAGCCAGGUUGCCAUAGUAUUUCUAUUUACAUUUUGUAUUGCUUCUUUUUUAAAGGUUUUUAAAUGUUGUUUUUGAAUGUAGAUUUGGUAUUUUACAAGCAGUUGGUUAAAAAUCUACGAGUUAAAUGUAGCCAAGAUUACUGCAAUACAAUUUAACGCAGCCUGAAACGGCAAACAAAUAUUGAAAAUAAAUCAGUGCUGCAAACUGUAAAGUAUUUGAUCACGUCGUUCAAUGCUAGAUAAAGUCUGGUCCUAUUUAACUUUCGUUAUUAUGUUAUCAAUAAUGGUACAUUCCAUUCGCAUCAAUCGUGCCAGGUGUACCGUAAGGCAAAGGCUACAUCUGUUGAGUGCGGGGAUUCUUUAAAGGUGAAGAUUUCACAAAUAGACAGCGUAUUGGAAAAUGAGCACAAAUGUUGAUAAGAUAGUUCACUCAAUAACUGAUAGGUAGGUGAAGCACUUUCGAUAAUGAUAUCUUCUUGUUUGAACUUCGCCUUGAUUGCAUGCAUUCAACCAACGUUAACCGAUAGUAAUAGCAAAUUUACAACCCGUUUUUUUCAUGAGCGCAUGUAUAAAAAAUCGAUUGCUACUGAUUAUCACAUCAAUCACCGCAGCUUCCUGCACAUGGAGCUAAUUUAGUACUAGUAAAAGUUGAUGGUAUGAUAUAUUACCUUACCUUUCGUUGGGUGACUCAUAAAUCACUAACUUUUGUGCAUUUGAUUUGAUUUUUGUGCGUUAAACAAACAAUGGAAGUAUUUUCGACGGAACUCAUUUAAUUUCCGUUCUGAGAACCAUUUUUUUCAGUAAGGUUAUGCGGGAUCAAAAUUUCGGAACAUCCAGGGAAUCACAUCCGGGGGUAGGACGAUAAAAGUACCUGAAUUCUGGCAAAAGUGGUGAGGAUACGUGGUACCGCAACAAGAUAUUCAUUGGAAAGGUGCUAUACUGUUCCUGUUGCCAUGCAUUUGCGGGUGCUCAUGUAUUCCCUCUCCCCCCUAUCCCAACUUCGAGGACCUACCUUAACAAGUCCCAACACAGAUGACGCUUAAAUGAUAAUCGAUACAAUAAAAAGUCGAAAGCCACCAGGCUUAACUGGUCUGAUCUAUA